rnacentral:rRNA from 1 species
AGAGUUUGAUCCUGGCUCAGGACGAACGCUGGCGGCGUGCUUAACACAUGCAAGUCGAACGGUAAGGCCCUUCGGGGUACUCGAGUGGCGAACGGGUGAGUAACACGUGGGUGAUCUGCCCUGCACUUUGGGAUAAGCCUGGGAAACUGGGUCUAAUACCGAAUAUGACCAUGCACUUCCUGGUGUGUGGUGGAAAGCUUUUGCGGUGUGGGAUGGGCCCGCGGCCUAUCAGCUUGUUGGUGGGGUAAUGGCCUACCAAGGCGACGACGGGUAGCCGGCCUGAGAGGGUGACCGGCCACACUGGGACUGAGAUACGGCCCAGACUCCUACGGGAGGCAGCAGUGGGGAAUAUUGCACAAUGGGCGCAAGCCUGAUGCAGCGACGCCGCGUGAGGGAUGACGGCCUUCGGGUUGUAAACCUCUUUCAGCACAGACGAAGCGCAAGUGACGGUAUGUGCAGAAGAAGGACCGGCCAACUACGUGCCAGCAGCCGCGGUAAUACGUAGGGUCCGAGCGUUGUCCGGAAUUACUGGGCGUAAAGAGCUCGUAGGUGGUUUGUCGCGUUGUUCGUGAAAACUCACAGCUUAACUGUGGGCGUGCGGGCGAUACGGGCAGACUUGAGUACUGCAGGGGAGACUGGAAUUCCUGGUGUAGCGGUGAAAUGCGUAGA